CAGCAUCCGCGUGACUGGCGAAAUCGAGGUGGGCGACCACCGGGGAGCGCGGAUCUCAUAGCGCCGCUCGCCUGGGCAAUUUCC
rnacentral:ncRNA from 2 species